rnacentral:rRNA from 1 species
AAACUUUCAACAACGGAUCUCUUGGUUCUGGCAUCGAUUAAGAACGCAGCAAAAUGCGAUAAGUAAUGUGAAUUGCAGAAUUCAGUGAAUCAUCGAAUCUUUGAACGCACAUUGCGCCCGCCAGUAUUCUGGCGGGCAUGCCUGUUCGAGCGUCAUUU